rnacentral:rRNA from 1 species
UACGGAAGGCAACAGUGGGGAAUAUUGCACAAUGGGCGCAAGCCUGAUGCAGCCAUGCCGCGUGUAUGAAAAAGGCCUUCGGGUUGUAAAGUACUUUCAGUCGUGAGGAAGGUGUUAAGGUUAAUAACCUUAGCAAUUGACGUUAGCGACAGAAGAAGCACCGGCUAACUCCGUGCCAGCAGCCGCGGUAAUACGGAGGGUGCGAGCGUUAAUCGGAAUUACUGGGCGUAAAGGGCACGCAGGCGGUUAAUUAAGUUGGAUGUGAAAUCCCCGGGCUUAACCUGGGAAUGGCAUUCAAGACUGGUUAGCUAGAGUCUUGUAGAGGGGGUAGAAUUCCAUGUGUAGCGGUGAAAUGCGUAGAGAUGUGGAGGAAUACCGGUGGCGAAAGGCGGCCCCUGGACAAAGACUGACGCUCAUGUGCGAAAAGCGUGGGGAGCAAAACAGGGAUUAGAUACC